rnacentral:rRNA from 1 species
AUACGGAGGGGGCAAGCGUUGCUCGGAUUUACUGGGCGUAAAGGGCGCGUAGGCGGAUAAUUAAGUCAGGCGUGAAAGCCCCGGGCUCAACCCGGGAACCGCGUUUGAAACUGAUCAUCUAGAGUUCGGAAGAGGGUGGUGGAAUUCCCAGUGUAGAGGUGAAAUUCGUAGAUAUUGGGAAGAACACCAGUGGCGAAGGCGGCCACCUGGUCCGACACUGACGCUGAGGCGCGAAAGCGUGGGGAGCAAACAGGAUUAGAUACCCUAGUAGUCC